CUUGGUUCAAAAGGUUGACUAACUUCUUAAAAUCCUUAAUGUUCUAGAUAAAAAGUCACUUUGGGGGGCAAUUAGAAGAUAUACUCAUUAAACCAAUUGUACAAAAGCCAUACAGCAUGGGUAUAAGAGGUUAGGCUGUACCAUUAAGAAGUAACCUGGAAAACCAGUCAUUUGAACGACUUUGCCUUUGAGGUUACCUCACAGCAAGCAGACACCAGACAAUUGCAUUGGGUUUCAAGUCCAAAGUUAAAGAGCACGAUGGAACCCUGCUCUCUCCUCUUAUUUAACUAUUUUAAUCUACAUUUCAAGAUAAUAGUUGGGUGACAAAGAAGUAUAUCUAAGAACCUUAAAAAAUGCUAAGGUUAUUCAAGUUGUGUAUAGUAUUUGAAACAGGUAAAUAGCUUGAUAAGAAGGGUAGGUUCUCCUCCUCCUUUCCCAUCAAUCAUAUCUAAAUCUGAACAAAAACAUUGAUAUUUAGGGUUAAAGCUGAGCCUUUCUAUCAUAAAAUUGAUGGCUCUUUUUAUAUGAUUGCCUAUUGUAUAUCUAGAGAACAAAAUAAGGUUUAAGAAACUUUGAGGAACUUAGGCAUGACAGAGAUCUACAAUGGAGACAGAAAAUGAUUUAUCUUUUUAUCUUGUGAGGAAAAUCUAUAGCAGAGUACAGAUCCAAAACCUUAUACAAAGCAAUCAUGGAGAUAUAUCAGACAAAGACAGAAGAAAAAUGUUCAUUUCUCCAUGUCUUUCUAACCUCUGCCACCAGUUUCAGAAUUAAAUUGCUCUUUUUUUUUAGUUAGUAAUUUGUCUCUUUGAUUUCUCAGUUAUUGAAAAAACAACAAAAUAUCAUGUCUGCUGAAACUCAGACAAAACUUCUUCCUUUUCUUAAAGAAAAGAGACACCUCCAUGGGACAGGUCCUGGAGGCAGAGCUCAGAAAUAACCCAUUUAAUAAUUCUCUGGGGCUAGAUGACCCAAUCAAUAGCACUGAUGGUUUUUCCACAUGUAAGCCUGAUUUUUUCACCCAACACCUAGAGGCUUAAUAAAGCUAUGGUGGAAAGCCUGUUUUGAACAAGGCUUCAAUUGACCAAGGUUAAAAGUAAAAGGAAGAAAUCGUGAUUCUGCCCUUUUGAAGCUAUUUUUUGUCAAAAUCAAGUGUAAGGUUUAAAUUGAUAUGGUCUCUUAACAGUUACAUCUAGUUAAUAUUUAUGGCCUUUAAGAAGAAGACAAUUUUGUUUUAUAGAAGGAGAUAGCAACAUGAGUUAUAUCUCUGUCUAUGCUCUUAUAUCCUGAGAAAGGUAUGAGUCUGUACAUUCCUUGUGACCAAUGAAUAAGCCAAUGCAUUGAGUAGCUCUGAGGGACCGAUUCAUGUCAAAGUCAAUGCAAAUGGAAGCUCCUGGUGUUGUGCACUCCUCUUCUGCUUGCCAGUGGUGGGUGGACCUGGCCGUAUGUCUUAAUAUCCCUGACAGUUACUAAUGGAAUAAGGGUUUGGGACUCUAUAAUUUCUAAGCUCCCACAUGGUGGGAGCUUAAACAUUUGUAUUUUUGUGCUUCUUUGAAACUUUACAAUGUUAACAAGAUCUCUCAGCAAAGGAGUUGACCAUUCCCAACAAGAGAUUGCAGAUUUUAAGGAUUAAUUCCUUUAAUUUUGGAAAAGCCUCU
rnacentral:lncRNA from 10 species